GUCGGUGGAGGAAACCAGCCCGGGGUCACAGGGCACUCCUCCCAGCGGUUCCCUGCGACCCGCAGUGGACGGGGCGGGGUGACGGGGGGGUGCGUCCACGUGGUCAGGCCCGCUGCUCUCCCACCAGCCGCUUCCUCUGGGUGCGCCUGUUUCCUGCAGCUCGUUCCGGAGGCCCACCCCACCCCCUAUUCCCCUUCCUCCUCCUCUGCUGGGGUGGACCAGCACCCCAGGGCCGAGGCGGGUGGGGCACCACCAUCCUAGAAGGCCUGCCCACCCCCCAGGCCACCCAGGAUGCGGCUGGUGGAGGCGGAGGCCGUGGGACCCGCUGCCUCUUGGCCAGUUUGCACGAUGGAGCUGGAGGAGCGCGAUGUGCUGGCCUGGGGCCGAGCUGCCCCAGGAGGGAUGAGGUUCCAGAGCCUCAGGAUGCACGGUGGAAACUAGAUGAAGGCUCUAGGGGAGCAGGCCGGGUCUGUGGAUGUCGAGAGGUGUUCCCAACCACCCUGGGGUGGAGACAGUGCUGUCUCUGGACCCAGAGAGAGCCAGGAAAAGGAAGAGGGAGAGCCAGAGGGCAGUGACGGGAGGGGACGCCAUGGCCACUGGCCUGCAGUACGAUCUGCCUUGCUGGUGGCCCCCAGCCUGGCUGUGCUGAGUCCCCCUGCUGGUCCCCUACCUGAGAUUCUGCUCAGAGCCCACGCAGGGGAAGCGGGGUAGGCAUGGCUGCAGCGUGGGGUGGCCGCCUGCCUGGGGACCCCGCCCUGCCCGGACAUCGCCCUCACUAGGAUGUGAGCUCACGGGGGCUGGAUCUCGGCUGCCCUUUAGCUCAGGACCCGCCCAGCACACCUGGCUGGCGGCAGGUGCGUCUCCAUCAGUACCUGCUGAGUGACUGAAUGUAUGAAUGAACGAAGGAAUGAAGGACCCUAAGAACAGCUACGAGGAAAGUGCUAUCUUCACCCCACUACACGGAUGAGGGGUCAGCCACCAGUCACGUAACUGCCGAGCGGCCAGCCGUAGGGGACCUGGAUCUAACUCUGGAGCUGCAGUGAUCCACAGAAUCUCCUUCGCUUUUUCUCGCAGGGUGCUGGGCUCCCCUUCUGAGCAGCCAGCAACCCAGCAGCCUCUGCUGCCCCCACCUGAGUGGCCCCGAGGAUCGUAGGGCAGUGCUGGGGGUGGUCUCAACGGACCCCAGGCUGGCACCUGCAGGGCCUCGGGGGCAUUUGUGCAUCUCCUCCUGGCAGAGUGGGAGGAGAGGGGUCCAGGGCUCUGGGGGCCCCAUCAGCACCCUGCCCAGGGUCGCUUGGAUUGUGCUUGAGGACAGCAUUUGAGGUUUGCAGGUCUGGGGAGAGCGUGACCCCAUCUCCUGGAGUCCUGGCACACGUUAGCACCAUGAGUUUCAGGGGUGAUCAUCAUUGGCCCCCAAAGGCCUGGGAGGAUAGGAUGCCCACCUUCACGCCCAGGCCAGCUGGUGAGCAGCAGCCACGGGGUGUAGGAACAAGGAGGGCAUCGGGACCGUGGCGGAGGGGGGCUGGACUUGCGCGGACAAGCCGGGACUCUCCCAGUGAAGAGCAUUCGACAAAAUAACCCACCCGUACUCCUCAAAACAUCAGGGUUGUGCAAAGACAGACUCAGAGAGACUGGAGAAUGGGUCCAGACUCAGGAGACGGGGGAGAGGCGACAGCUGAGAGCAGCUGGGGUCCCAGUCUGGCUCCUGCACAGCGGAGAAAUAGCCCCAGAGAGCAGAGUGGGAAAAGCAAAGACACCUGAACACGGGCAGUGGACUCGAGAAAAAUACUGCAUCCGGGCAACCGCCCCGAUUUCAACAGCUGUCCUGUUGGGAGAAUGUCCAUGUUCUUAGAAAUUUACACGCAAGUGUCUAGGGGUCAAGGGGCACCAUGUCUCCAACUUACUCUCAAACGAGUCAGAGGAAAACCACGUGUGUGCGCGUGCGUGUGCGUGGAUUUCACAGAGAGAUAGAAACAUUGCACCUGCGCGUCUAUGCGUAGAGAGAAAGCGAUCGUGCGGACGGGGCCAAUGGAAGCCACUGGGGAAUCGGGUGUUGGGGCCUGUGGGAGGCCUACGGAGUCCCGUGCUCCAUCCUUGCAAUUUUUCUGCAAACGUGAAAUGACAUGAAAAUUAAAAGCUGUAGAAAAGAUGGAAGGGCCUGGGUCCCAGUUGCAGUGUUCCCAGCUGUGUGAUCCUUGGCGCCCCACCUCACCCCUUGGGCCCCCUUCUUCCCUAUCUGUCACCUGUG
ensembl:lncRNA